rnacentral:lncRNA from 1 species
GUCAGUGUGAAGGGAAGGCUAAGGACGCAUCGGUGCUGGAGAGUUGAGAAUAUGCCUUCCCCUCCACCCCCAACCCAGUCACCUUAUUUGAAAAAAAAUUAAAAAACACCUUUUAUUUAAAAACCUAACCCUGGAAGUUUGCUCGUCUGUAAGCAGUUGGACAAGGCUAUUUAGAAAGGCUUGGAGAGACACCCUAGGGGGAUUGAAGGUCCUCAGCCUCAGUGGUUAGACAUUAUCAAUGACACACAUCGAGUGUACUGAGCUAAAUUGCAGAGGGUCCCAGUUUCAUUCAUUCUCCCUCACAGGGAAGGCAUUCUCUUCCUCUUCCUCCAGCUGCCUGAAAAUCAUAUGCGUGGUUUUUCCUGUUUCCUGCUCUGUAGCUGACAUCAGGGGAGCAACGUGAACACAGGAAAAUGGAAAUCAACAUUUGAAACUUUUAAAUGGAAGCUUUAUUGGGGUUCCACAUAUGGAAAACUGCAAAUAGCAGAAGUAUGUGACUCAAUAAAUUAUUCUGGAGUGACCACAUCCUCUAACUGCCUCCCAGGACAAGACGGAGAAUGUGAACAAUGCUCCUGAAGGCCCCUUUCCCUCAAAGAAUCACUGCAAUUGAAGGAAAAAUGCUCCAUGUCCCCUCUGCCAGUUGGUGUUUAUCAAAGGACAACGGAGGAAGAGAGACAAAGUGCCUGGAUGUGUGUGUUAAUCAAGAGUUGUCAGGACCCUGCCUCUAAAAGAAAGCGCUAAAAUGAUGCUUUUGACAAGACUUUUCUCAAAGUGGAUGCAGUCUAAGGGUUGGAAAACAAGGCCCAAUCAGGCUAGGUCUGACUUGUCGCCUGCUUUUGUAAAUAAAGUUUUAUUGGCUCACAGACACA